UAUAAAUGUAAAAUUUUUAAACCAGGGUAGUAAUAGUUAAGUUCUUGAAACCCAAAGAAUUUGGCGGUAUUUUAGUCCUUUCAGAGGAAUCUGUCCCAUAAUCGACAGUCCACGAGAGAAUUUACUUAUUCUUGUAUUUCAGUUUGUAUACCUCCGUCAUAAGAAGAUCUUUUUAGAGAUGGAAUUUUCUUGAUAUAUAAAUUAUAAGAUGUCAGGUCAAGGUGCAAUUUAUGAAUAAGAGGAGAUGGAUUACAAUAAAUUUAUUUACACGGAUUAAAUUAUUUGAUUUUUUUUUAUGAAGGUGGAUUUGAUAGUAAUUUUGAUUAUUUGUUAUCAUGAUUUUGGCUCUAAAAUAUGC
rnacentral:rRNA from 1 species